rnacentral:rRNA from 1 species
GACGAACGCUGGCGGCGUGCUUAACACAUGCAAGUCACGGGGGCCCGCAAGGGUAACCGGCGAACGGGUGCGUAACACGUGAACAAUCUGCCUAGAUGUGGGGGAUAGCCGGCCCAACGGCCGGGUAAUACCGCAUACGCUCUUCGGGUGGCAUCACUUGAAGAGGAAACCUCCGGGGCAUCUAGCGGAGUUCGCGGCCUAUCAGCCAGUUGGUGGGGUAACGGCCUACCAAGGCAAUGACGGGUAGCUGGUCUGAGAGGAUGGCCAGCCACAUUGGGACUGAGAUACGGCCCAGACUCCUACGGGAGGCAGCAGUGGGGAAUAUUGCGCAAUGGCCGAAAGGCUGACGCAGCGACGCCGCGUGGGGGAUGAAGCAUUUCGGUGUGUAAACCCCUGUUGCUCGGGACGAACAAGCGAUUUCGAUCGCUCUGACGGUACCGGGUGAGGAAGCACCGGCUAACUCCGUGCCAGCCGCCGCCGUAAUAC